UAGUGCGUUUGAUUCGUAAUCAAAAGGUCGUGGGUUCGAUUCCCACAGGGGGCU
rnacentral:tRNA from 1 species